UAGCUCAGUUGGAGCAUGGCACUGGCAACGCCAGGGUUGUGGGUUCAAUUCCCAC
rnacentral:tRNA from 1 species